rnacentral:lncRNA from 12 species
AUGUGCUCUCCCUUCUUACUUUCCCCUCUGUUCUGUAUGCUUUCUGAUCCCCUGAUUAUCCCUUCUAGUAGAACAGCAGAGAAGUGUGUGUGUGGACUUGGAGUCCCAGACCAGGAGCUGGUAGAGAAGAACCUAGUGUUCCAGUGUGCUAGACAAUUUCCUGGAGCAAGACUGACAAGAUCAAGGCCCCAUCAUUGCGAUACUUUGGACAGAGCUCUUCAUGCAGCUGAGUGAAGCCAUGGUGUUGGUUGCUGAGAAAAUGUACCUUCUCAGAACUGUGCAUCUGAUGGCUACAAGAUGGGAGGAAUUUCCAGUGUGGAUGACCAGCCUGAGCAUCGUGGUUGCCUUUCUAGGCCUCUGAUUGCAACACUUUCUCACAUGAUGUCCUGAAUAACCAAGGUAUUUUGCUUUCAGUGAGUCCAAGGUGUGGAAGAGUAUGCAGAUGCAUUUCCAGUGUGGAAGACAAGCCUGCAUUGUGGUUGCCAGAAGCACCUGACAUCAACAUGUCCACCAUGACUUUUAAUAGAAACAGACCUGCCUUGGUAUGGAGAGCAGGGUCCCACUUUUAGGUAUUUGGGACUCACUUAAGGGUCCCACUUUUAGGUAUUUGGGACUCACUACUGGGUUUUCAGCCCCAGUAGUGGGGGCUGAACUGUACUGGGGUGUAGAAAGACAAAGAAAUCCAGGUACAAAUUGUCUGUUUCCUGCUUUGUGGCUUGGUGCCUCAUAAGUAAAGCCAUUGGAGUCCUGCCUAACUGUAGUCAGUGUGGGUCCUGCUUCAGGGGUAUCCUGGAGCUGCUUUCUUCUAAAGGAAAAGGUGCAGUAGGGAAAACAAGUCAAGACUUGAAGCCCUCUCUUCAUCCUCUUUAUAAUGGGGAUGAGAAUGCUUUACCCACAGGUCUCUGAGAACAUUCAGUGAUACACAUGAGUAAGCCCAUGGCCCUGUGGUUACUGUGGGAUCACGAAUGCCUGUAUGAAUUCAGGCUGCUUCUUAUUCCUUUCCAACUAUGUUGUUAGGGGUUAGAUGAAGAUAGGAGAAGAAAAAGGCUCCAUGAGAAGCCCAUUAUAAGAUGUGGUUUUUAUAUCAAGACCCAAUUGUCUAAUAUAACACUGUAUGUUGACUAUACUGGAAUUAAAGGUUCAAAGAAAAAGACCCAAUUGUAUUGGUGUCAUUGUCCCUAGCUCAGUGUCUGAUAUGGUGCUGGGCCCAUAGUUACUCCAGUAAAGCAUAGUCAUUGAUGAAUCUUUUUUUCCCUGUUCAGCUCUUCAUGCCAGUAGCUGAGCUCUUUUCCAGGUGCUUGAAGAAGGCAGGUUAUGAGGAUCUGAGUCCUAAAAUCUCCUGAAUCUUCUACACUAGAUUCAAGUGCAGCAAUCCCCAGGAGAUCCCAAUACUUCACAUGCCUGGUGGGAUAUGAAUUUUGGUCCAAGUGAGUUCAUAGAUGAAAAAAAACAUGUUGUGGAGUAGCUCCUGUGAGGUUCACAAACUACCCUAAAAGAAAAGCUUCUUUGAUCUCAUGGGAGAAGAGGUUUAGCAGGUGGAAUUUCAUUCCAUCAGCAGCUACAUGUUGUGUAGUAGGCCUUGAGGGCCAUCUUAAGGAAAUCCUCUUUUGUUUGAAAGAAGUGAGUUGUUCAGCUUGACUAGGAUUUGAUCAUUAACAUGCAUUUGUAAUAAAUAUACAUAUAUUUUCUGAAUUUGAAAUAAU